CUGAAUCAACACUAAUUAAAGAUGGACGACGUGGACAGCAACCAGACGACAGAUGAAUACUUCUUGAACCAUCCCAGACAGUGACUGUGGGAAACACGCUGUAUCAAGGUGGGGCCGACGGAGCAGAGGACCACAAGGGUGGAGCUAAAGACCACCAUAGCAGAGCAGAUGGGAACAAAGAUCCUCACGGCAGAGCAGAUGACCACCACAGUAGAGCAGAUGGGACGAAGAUCCCC